UCUCCGUAGGUGAACCUGCGGAGGGAUCAUUACUGAGUGAGGGCUCACGCCCGACCUCCAACCCUUUGUGAACACAAUCUUGUUGCUUCGGGGGCGACCCUGCCGGCACUACGUCGCCGGGCGCCCCCGAAGGUCUCCAAACACUGCAUCUUUGCGUCUGAGUUUAAACAAAUUAGACAGAACUUUCGACAGCGGAUCUCUUGGUUCUGGCAUAGAUGAAGAACGCAGC
rnacentral:misc_RNA from 1 species